rnacentral:rRNA from 1 species
UACGUAGGGUGCGAGCGUUAAUCGGAAUUACUGGGCGUAAAGCGUGCGCAGGCGGUUUUGUAAGCCAGAUGUGAAAUCCCCGGGCUCAACCUGGGAAUGGCAUUUGGGACUGCAAGGCUGGAGUGCGGCAGAGGAGACUGGAAUUCCUGGUGUAGCAGUGAAAUGCGUAGAUAUCAGGAGGAAUACCGAUGGCGAAGGCAGCCCCCUGGGAUAACACUGACGCUCAUGCACGAAAGCGUGGGGAGCAAACAGG